UACGAAGGGGGCUAGCGUUGUUCGGAAUCACUGGGCGUAAAGCGCACGUAGGCGGACUGGAAAGUCAGGGGUGAAAUCCCGGGGCUCAACCCCGGAACUGCCUUUGAAACUCCCAGUCUUGAGGUCGAGAGAGGUGAGUGGAAUUCCGAGUGUAGAGGUGAAAUUCGUAGAUAUUCGGAGGAACACCAGUGGCGAAGGCGGCUCACUGGCUCGAUACUGACGAUGAGGUGCGAAAGCGUGGGGAGCAAACAGG
rnacentral:rRNA from 1 species